rnacentral:lncRNA from 1 species
GUUGACUAUGUCUAGCUAGUACUACACAUGAGGUGCAGAUUUAAUUUCGAGGAUGAAUAUGAUUGAUUUAUGAUCCAAGAAAUUUAUGAGAGAUUGAAUUCGAGUCUUAAUUAUUUUAGAUUGGAUCUGAUUUAAUUAGGCUUGAUUGGGUUAAAAAUCUAAGUUAGAUUUAGAUCAAAAUCCUAAUUAAAUUAGGAUUAACAGUCUCUUUGAGUUUGGAUCAAAUCAGAUUCGAAUUGGAUUUGAAUCGAGUCAAAUUUAAAUCAAUUUGGAUUAAAUUCAAAGAGUCACAAAAUCUUGGGACUCUCUCUCAUAAAGUGGCCAACCAAAGGAGGAAGAGGCACUAAUUAUUUCCGCCCAUAUUGUGCAUGUGCAUGAAGAAGUUCUCACAUGAACAUGAGGCUCUCCUUUCUCACAUUGAUUUCCUAUUUGGAUAUGGUUAGGAGUCCUAACUAAUUAGGUCUUUUGAUCAGAUAUUGAUGUCCAAUCUAUUUAAGGAGGGGACCUAACUAUUGUAAGGUUUAAUGGUGGACAUGCAC